rnacentral:rRNA from 1 species
UACGGGGGGGGGGCAAGCGUUGUCCGGAAUUAUUGGGCGUAAAGAGCUCGUAGGUGGUUUGUCGCGUUGUCCGUGAAAACUCACAGCUUAACUGUGGGCGUGCGGGCGAUACGGGCAGACUGGAGUACUGCAGGGGAGACUGGAAUUCCUGGUGUAGCGGUGGAAUGCGCAGAUAUCAGGAGGAACACCGGUGGCGAAGGCGGGUCUCUGGGCAGUAACUGACGCUGAGGAGCGAAAGCGUGGGGAGCGAACAGG